CUAGUUCCGCGGCGUCCGCUCCUCCGGCAGCUCACAGCGUGUCUCGUGCGCCUGCCGCUGCGGCCCCGAUGGCUCUGUGCAACGGAGACUCCAAGCUGGAGAAUGCUGGAGGAGACCUCAAGGAUGGCUGCCACCACUACGAAGGAGCUGUUGUCAUCUUGGAUGCCGGUGCUCAGUAUGGGAAAGUCAUAGACCGGAGAGUGCGGGAACUCUUCGUACAGUCUGAAAUAUUCCCCUUGGAAACACCAGCCUUUGCCAUAAAGGAACAAGGAUUCCGUGCCAUUAUCAUCUCUGGAGGACCUAAUUCUGUGUAUGCAGAAGAUGCUCCCUGGUUUGACCCAGCAAUAUUCACCAUUGGCAAGCCUGUUCUUGGGAUUUGCUAUGGCAUGCAGAUGAUGAAUAAGGUAUUUGGAGGUACGGUGCACAAAAAAAAUGUUAGAGAAGAUGGAGUCUUCAACAUCAGUGUGGACAAUACAUGCUCAUUGUUCAGGGGCCUUCAAAAGGAGGAAAUU